AUGUGUUGACCGAGCCCUGGUUCUGGACGACCGGGUCAACAAGUUUACGGUGCAGCUGGGGGACUUUCCAGGGGACAUGGCCAAGCUACUGGACAUCCUGGCCCGAGAGGACAUCAAGUUGUUGGAUGUUUGCCACCGUAGACACAAUGACAGAGGAGAUCUCUUCAAGGCCCUGGUGGAGUGUGUGGUGGAGACCAGAGAUAAGACACAGAGCACUCAGCUCCGCAGGACACUGUCUGAGCGCUAUCCCACACUACGCUGGCUGGACCGGUGAUCAACACUUGUCACGGCUCUCAUCACGGCUCUCACUCUGAACACGCACACACACGGACAAAGCAUGCACACGCAUGUAUGCACGUCACUUGCAGACACACACACACACAAUUAAACAGACAAUGAAACAGAAACAUUGUGAAUGUAUAUGCAAACUAACACAUAACAUGUGCACUGAACUUUUUUUUGCUGCAAAACCACCGAAUUGCAAUUGCUUUUGAGUGUCAGUGAGUAUAAUAAAGCCCUUUGAUUAGUAGAGAUUAUACAGGGAGAUAAAAUUAAAUACGGGAAUACAUGGCAUUUACUGCAUAUGCUGCUCUGAUUUAAAAACCAUCCUUUCACCCCAUACUUCUGUUAUUACGGUGCUCAGGGGGUACUUUUGGGCCAGUUUCCCAGACAAUGAUUAAGCCCAGCUGAUCCUAACAUAACAGUGGUAGUGACAAUUAAAGGCAUUAUGUUCUGGAAAUAAAAGUUGGUGAUGAUGACGCAUUCAA